GAUAUAUAGAUAAUCUAGAUAGAUAUGAUAAUCUAGAUAGAUAGAUAAUCUAGAUAGAUAGAUAAUCUAGAUAAUCUAGUCCUGACCCGUCCUAUAGAACCUUGGCCUAUAAUUUAACCAAGAAUAAAGGUAUAAAAACUUCAUAUAAAGUGUCAAAUCAUGUAUUUAUAUUAUAUUUUAUAUUUUUUAAAAAGUCAAUUUUAUUCUUUAUUUAACAACAUACUUCAUUUAAUUGUAGUGAAGCAUCAGAUUUCAACAAAAAUAUUUAAAGAAAAAAUUAAAUGAAAUGAAAGUAAACAAUUGAAAAGAUAAUGGAAAAAUAUCAGUUAAGAAUAACAGGAAGCAAUCAAUUCAUUCAUUCAUUUUAUUCAAUUUGAUUGAACCUUGGUGAAAGGUUUAGAAAUUUGAGACUCAAUUCUUUUUUUAAAAGAAACUUAAUGUCUAGCUCAACGUUGUUCUAUAAACCUGUUUGUAAGAUGUACAUUGUACAGUGUUCAUAUCAGAAUUAUAUCAUAAAAUCCACCGAACUGAGGUUUUGCAGUAUUACAUUUUUUAUUAAACAAAAACACCCCUGCCCACCUCUCAUUCCGGUGAAAUAUGUAAAUAUUUUAGGAGUUAAGACGACAAAAAUAUUUUAAAAUUAGCAACAUAAGUUUGAAAAAUCAAAAUAUUUUGAAGUUUUAGAAACCCUGCUGCUAAAACAAGACACCCCUCCCCAGCUUUAGCUAGAAAUAUAAUUACAAAAUUAGGCCCAGACUUCACAGAUAAAACAAGACUUGAUGUUGUUUAAUUCAAAAAAAACUAUUUUACAUCAUUAUUUUAAAAAUGUGAAAGAUUUAAAGAGACUGAACACGCAAUUUCAAGUGAUCGCUCAUGUUAAAAGUGGGAUAGCGGUACCCUUUAUAUUAUUAUGUUAGCAAACAAGAUAUAUCACCGGUUUUCCAUCUAGAACAGCGUUGAAUUCUGGAACUUACCUUCUUUGUUUCUGCUUCAGAAGAUCUGCAAGUUAUUUAUAGAGCAACCACAAUUUUCAGAUAGAAAACGGUGAAAUUCUCAUAGUUUUUUCAGAUAAAGGAUUUAAGGGCACUGUCUGAUAGGUCCCCUUUAAAUAUUAGUUUAUUUGAAAUGUCGUCUACAUUCUCUUUAAAAAUAUUUCAGAAUUAAAAAUAACUUGUCAUCUCUAGUUGAAUCUGUGUAAGAUGUGGCACUAGGUAUAUUAGGUAUAUCAGGUAUAUUUUGAAAGGUCUUCAUGUUGUUAUUUAGUCAGCUCUUGUAUUUAUUCAUGUGAUAAACAUAUAGUCAACAUUCUUUGCAUAAUAUUUAUUGAAAUAUAUUCAAACUAUUGUAA
rnacentral:lncRNA from 1 species